UACAGAGGGGGCAAGCGUUGUUCGGAAUUACUGGGCGUAAAGGGCGCGUAGGCGGCCCUCUAAGUCAGACGUGAAAUCCCUCGGCUCAACCGGGGAACUGCGUCUGAGACUGGAAGGCUUGAAUUCGGGAGAGGGAUGUGGAAUUCCAGGUGUAGCGGUGAAAUGCGUAGAUAUCUGGAGGAACACCGGAGGCGAAGGCGAAUCACUGGACCGCUUCUGACGCUGAGGCGCGAAAGCUAGGGGAGCAAACAGG
rnacentral:rRNA from 1 species